AAUGAACGCUGGCGGCGCGCCUAAUACAUGCAAGUCGAGCGAGAAGACGUAGCAAUACGUUUGUAAAGCGGCGAACGGGUGAGGAAUACAUGGGUAACCUACCCUCGAGUGGGGAAUAACUAGCCGAAAGGUUAGCUAAUACCGCGUACGCUCCUUGGACUUCGGUUCAGGGAGGAAAGCGAUACCGUGGGUAUCGCGCUCUUGGUUGGGCUCAUGUCCUAUCAGCUUGUUGGUGAGGAACGGCUCACCAAGGCUUCGACGGGUAGCUGGUCUGAGAGGACGAUCAGCCACACUGGCACUGCGACACGGGGCCAGACUCCUACGGGAGGCAGCAGUAAGGAAUAUUGCGCAAUGGGCGAAAGCCUGACGCAGCGACGCCGCGU
rnacentral:rRNA from 1 species